UAACCCAAACGAUCAUAGCCUUUUAUAUUAAUAUAUUUUUUUAGUGUCAGAAUAUAAUUUUUUGGAAAGCAUAAGAGUGUAUACAGGAACCUCUGGUACAAAAAUAACUUAAAAUUCAGAGAUUCUGUAGAAAAUUUGAGAGGAAAUUGGAAAAAGAUAUAAUCUGAAUUAUGAUCUAGUGAAGAAGAAAUUUUUAGCCUUGUUAAGGCUAUAUUUAAUAAAUUAUAUUCUCUCACCCAACAAAAAUCUGGUGCUAGGGCUAUUAACAUAAAAAGUAAAGUUUGUUGAAGAUUAUUUAUGGUUAAAAGAGAAUGUUGAUAAUAUUACCAAAUAUUCUGAGUCAAGUUUUAAAUUGACACAGACAAAUGAAAAUCUGAAAAUUGCCAUGCUGCACAAUACCAUAAUGAAAAUUGAAAACCCACUUGAUCAAAGUAUUGAAAUUGUUUCAUUUGAGGAUAGAUACUAUAAUUUCUCUAGAUCAAGAUAUUGCUAAUAAAGAAAAUGCAACCCCCAUAAAUAUUAAUAUAAAAUAUUCCUAUUCCAUCUAUUAAAAUGAGAAAAAAAUUAACAAUUAUUGAAUCUGAAAGAACAAAAAUAUUAAAAGAUAUUUUAGAUUCUCAAACUGGAGAAGAUCAACGAUAAACACCAUAUGUGGGGCUUUGUCAUAUUUAAAUCAAACAAAUGCAACGUCAAUAGAAGAUAUAUUUAAAAUUUAAAAAAUUAUUUAAAAAAAAGCACACAAUCAACACAACAAAAACCACCUAACUUUGAUCAUCUCUAUUGUGACUCCCUCGACAAAUAUUGCAGAUAGAAAUCCUGAAAUCCCUAUUUCCCAACCUCAUAGAAUUUUCCAUCCUAUGUUUAUGCUUUUAGCCUAAAAAAUUGAAUUAAGUUUCUACGCUGAGCUGAGUUAGAUUAUUUUUGGUUAUAAACAGGGCUACGCUGUUUUAUAGUGGACUAAAGUUAGGUAGUUUAACAACAUUACAAAAACCAUUAAAAAUAUCGUUAAAAAAAAUAAUUGACAACAUCUACUACACGUCCAUCCUUCGUAACAAUGACAUAUAUAAUUUCCUAGACUGACGAUUCAUUCAUUAAAUUUGAAGAAAACAAGUUAAUUUUUUGUGUUUUAAAUAAAUUUUAUUUUUACUUUUAAAAAAUCAAAUAAUAAUAAUAUGUAUAACAAUCAACUGGUAUAUAUAAUAAAACAUUUCAAUAGAUAUUCAAAUUAAUAUUCAAUUAACAUUAAAAUAAAUUAUUUCAACUGAUAACAUAUUUAAAUUAACAUGACAAUAAAUUAUGUAAAUUGAACACAAUUAACAUAAUUGCAUUUUUAAGCGUCGUUAAAAGCAAAUCAGCUGGAGCCGCCAUUUUGGUAACACAUAGUAAUUAUUCUCAUGUUAAAACUAUCAUUAAAUUGAUAACUUGCUUCCCUUAUUAUCUAGAUGAUCAGGCAAUUCUCUAAGUUAGCUUCAGGCAUAGUGAUAAAUUAGGCUCUCGUUUAAAAUUAAUGAUUAGUGUAACCAAAAUGGCGUCUCCAGCUGAUUUGCAUUGAUGUAAACUUUUAAUGAAUGAAUUGUCAGUCUAGGUAUUAUAUAUGUCAUUGUUUCAUAAGC